GACGAACGCUGGCGGCGUGCUUAACACAUGCAAGUCGAACGCUGAAGCUCAGCUUUUGUUGGGUGGAUGAGUGGCGAACGGGUGAGUAACACGUGAGUAACCUGCCCCCUUCUUUGGGAUAACGCCCGGAAACGGGUGCUAAUACUGGAUAUUCACUGGUCUUCGCAUGGGGGUUGGUGGAAAGGGUUUUUCUUGUGGGUGAUGGGCUCGCGGCCUAUCAGCUUGUUGGUGGGGUGAUGGCCUACCAAGGCGUUGACGGGUAGCCGGCCUGAGAGGGUGACCGGUAACAUUGGGACUGAGAUACGGCCCAGAAUACUACGGGAGGCAGCAGGGGGGAAUAUUGCACAAAGGGCGCAAGACUGAUGCAGCGACGCCGCGUGAGGGAUGGAGGCCUUCGGGUUGUGAACCUCUUUCGCUAAUGGUCAAGCCGCAAAAAUGGUUGUGGUGAGGGUAGUGGGUAAAGAAGCGCCGGCUAACUACGUG
rnacentral:rRNA from 1 species